rnacentral:tRNA from 1 species
GGGGCUGUAGCUUAAUCGGUUAAAGCAUCUAGUCUUGACAGCCAGAGGAUGCGAGUUCAACUCUCGUCAGCUCCACCA